GCGGAGAGAGGUCAUGGAGUGUCAGCCUAUGGUAUCUGAGGUCCAGGAGAGAUGACCUGCGCUGUUUUCCUCUGAGGAGAUAUCUGAAAAAUUUCAUCCGAUCACAAGCAAAGACCUCCUGGGGACCUUCAAUGCAUCCCUUGACAAAUUUGUGCCUGGCCUGCUGAAACUGUACUGGUCUAAGAAGGGAGCUCUUGGUGAGGAGAUGGAAGACCUCCUGGAUAAACUUGAUGAACAGACAUCCAACAUUGUGUCCAACUUGCACUGAGAGGCCUGCCCAUUUUCCUGAAGAGAAGAUGCAACAGCGGUUUUCCUGAAGUGCUUAGACACUGACAUUUUGGAACCAGUGUUGAACGGUGCAUCAGUUGCCAUCCUCACCAUCCUACAAGAUGCCGAUACGUCUGUGCGAGAACAUGGAGUUGUGUUGGAAGGGGACAUCGUGCUACAUAACAUUCCAGAUCUCUCUACUG